UUUGAUCUAAUGGUAGUUUGUAGAGAAUUGACAGACGAUUCUAAUAAAAUUAUCGUCGGGUCGAAAGGUCGUAGCUGUGAGUCAGGGGUGAGGCAUCAAAGACCAAUUUUAUGGUUUUGUCAAUGAGCACCCCAACCGAUUUUUCAUUUUAUUGGCUUAAAAUGAAGGCUAGCACAUCCCAUUUAACAUA